AAAAGAGAGACAAAAUUUUGAUGAUGAUGAGGACUGCUACAAGCCUGUUUGGGAGACUAUUGAUGAGAAGUGGGAUAUGCAGCUACAUCGGUCAUUGCGUGCAGCUGGUUAUUAUUUGAACCUAGUUUUUUUUGUUAUGUUAACAAGGAUAUACACACAAAUGAGACAAUGAUGAUUGGAUUUAAUAAGUGUGUAGAUGUGCUAGUCCUUAAUCUUGAUAUCCAGGAUAUUAUCUAUGCUGAUGAGUUGAUAAAUUACAAGUACUCAUUAAAGUCUUUUGGGAGUCCAAUGGCGAUGAGGCAAAGGACCAAAAUUGAUCCAGCCAAUUGGUGGAGCCAACAUGGGUGUAGCUCUCCAAAUUUACAGAAGUUGGCCAUUUGGAUCUUAAACCUAACCACUUCCUCGUCCAGUUGUGAGCGAAAUUGGAGUACUUUUGAAGGGAUUUAUACCAAGAAAAGGAACAGGCUUGAAUCAAAUAGGCUCAAUGAAUUAGUCUAUGUCAAGUAUAAUCAAUUCUUGAAGGACAUGUUUGCUAAGAGAGAUGAGAGAGACCUAUCAGAUAAAAAAGUAUGGACAAUGCUAUGGAGGAACAUGAAGGAUAUACAUGGGACAUGCUCAUAGAUGCUUCAGGGACAUCAGGCGAGCUUCCUAAGGCCACUAGAUCUUUUCCACAGAGGACGAGGGUGGAGGAAGAGGAGGAAGAAGAGGUAGAUUCAUAAGAGAUGGAGGAGGACGCCCUAUAUGUCGAGGAGGGUGACGACUUUGAUUCAUAUGAUGUAAAUGCGGUUGACCCUACUUUUUUUGAUGAUGAAUGAUGAAUAAUAAUUAAACUUUGAACAUUGAUUGAAGAUUCUUUUGAGUCUUCAAGUAUUACUUUCAUUUUUGUUUUUUACCUCUUGGUUGUGUAUUAUGAAUAAUGGAUUUGUAGUUCCAUUGGUUUUGUAAUUGGUAACUUUGGUUUGGUAAUUUUGUUAGUAAAUUUUAAGUUUUAAUUGAAUAUGGACCAACUUAUGGUUAUGAUUACGGAGUGUGUGUUCAUGUGUAAUAUACUUUUGAAUUCUGAUGUAACCUCAAUACCUAAUUCUUAUAUUUUAUACAAUAUAUAUAUUGUUAAAUACUAUAGAAUCCUUUUUUGAUUCAACUGGGCUGCCCAGGUUCUGGGCACCCGCCUAGGCGCUGGGUAGCUUGGACCCCCCAGGCUGCCUAAGACCCGCCUAGCGUUUUUUGAAACAUUGUACCCUUUAUAACUGUUAAACAAUUAAUUGUAUCAUAAGCCACACUCUUCCUUUAUUAGCAAAACUGAUAACUAUUAAUUGCUUAUACAAUCCAUGUUCACCACGUAUUGAACAUGUAUUUUGGAAUCUAUUUUAUUCCAUCUUUCUUUAUCUCUCUUUUAUCUUUUGGCAUUGCUGUAUAGGCAUCUGCUAACAUAGACUACAGCCCAUAUUGAACAUGCCGGAAUCCAUUAAAACGACAGUUGAAAAACCAUAUAUCAGAUAAUUUAUUUCUAUUGAUAGGAUUUAUUUUCUGGGGCAAAGAAAUUGAUUACUUAGAGACAACUAUGUCGUUUUCCUUAAAUAUCGAUGAUGGUAGCACCACCGCUAUUUUGGAAGAUUGUGGUGCCGAUUCUAUGGUGUAACAUACUAGUAACUUGGAUGGGGGACAAGAUUUAUUGUCUGUAGAUGAAGAAGGAGCAGCACUCGCAAGAGGAGUGAGCCUGGCUGUUGGGAAUGUUCCAAGUGGUAUGAUGGGUUCCCGAAAUAGCCCGGCCGAAAAUGGAAGUGGUGUGAGAUGGUUGAUUCUAAAGUCAAAAAGGAAGGUUGUGAAGGGCUAAAGAGCUUAAAUUUAUGCUACUUGUUUGGUGUAAAUUGUUAAUUCUUAUUGCGCUUUAUAGAAUCGUGAUACUUUUGCUGGUAAAGUAACUGUUGCUGGUUUUUGUUUGAAAGCAAUAUCAAAUCCCAUUGAUUGAAGUUUUGAACAAAAAUUUUUCUUGGAUUAAUUGCUUGAUCAUUGAAGACUUUGCUAAUCCACUGUUAGAGAAAAUCAUGAACAACCAAUUAUUUAAUUUUGAACUAUUUGCUGUUGAUUUAAUAGCAUCCUGAAACCAGAGCAUUUUUGUUGAUGAUUGUACCAUUGUAACCCACAAUUUUCCUCUCUUUUGCCUUUUGUUGAUGAUUGUACCGUCGUAUCUUAAAGUGGAUGUGCUCAAUUGUGGUUGUUUCUCAUAGGAUCAAUAUUAUGCUUAUUUUAUUUAUAGUGUGGAUAUCCUUCCACUUCUAUUUGUGGGUUUUCCUGUGAAUGAAUUAGUAUUGUACAAUGAAUAAUGACAUGAAGCCAUGAACUUUUUGUAUCUGAUCUCUCCUUUGAAGGAAUUAGUAUUCCACACGCUUUGUUAUGAGCCACACAGACGUUGCCAAGUAUGUGGCUCCUAUAGAGAUUGUUUGGAACCAAGGACUACCUCAGAAUGUCGACUUUUCAUCAUGAGAUAUCCCUUUGAGGAGCAAAGAGUGGCAAGACAGAGAGGAAGUUUCUUACUCAAAAGUCAGAUAUUACAAUCUAUUGAGAUUAAAAUUCUGAUCCAUGUCGGAUCCUGAAUGUACGAAGAAAUGUUAACGAUGGCUCACUAAAGCCUGAAAUUUUACAUUGUAAUACAUAACAUCAUUAGGAGUUUUAUUUUACUGGUGUCGGAAGAUUUUCACUUCUAAGUCAAUUAUUCAUCUAGUAACUUCAUUAUUUAUAGCUA